UACGUAGGGACCAAGCGUUGUUCGGAUUUACUGGGCGUAAAGGGCGCGUAGGCGGCAUGACAAGUCACUUGUGAAAUCUCUGAGCUUAACUCAGAACGGCCAAGUGAUACUGCAGUGCUAGAGUGUGGAAGGGGCAAUCGGAAUUCUUGGUGUAGCGGUGAAAUGCGUAGAUAUCAAGAGGAACACCUGAGGUGAAGACGGGUUGCUGGGCCAACACUGACGCUGAGGCGCGAAAGCCAGGGGAGCAAACGGG
rnacentral:rRNA from 1 species